GGACGGAAAGACCCCAUGGAGCUUUACUGCAGUUUGAUAUUGAGUAUCUGUACCACAUGUACAGGAUAGGUAGGAGCCUAUGAAGUCGGGACGCCAGUUUCGACAGAGGCGCUGUUGGGAUACUACCCUUGUGUUAUGGCUACUCUAACCCGGAUAGGUUAUCCCUAUCGGAGACAGUGUCUGACGGGCAGUUUGACUGGGGCGGUCGCCUCCUAAAAGGU
rnacentral:rRNA from 1 species